GUGUAGCAUCUUUCUGAACUCCAUCGACUGUCCAAGCUUCCAUAAUACCAUCUAGACUUCUCCGAUAAUGAGCUUCUCCAUUCAUCUACCGGACUGCUCCAAAUGCUCUCUGGCUUCACUAUCAGCCGAUUUUCUACAGUGAUUGACUAUUCUCCGAAUCCCUUCCAGACUUCUUCCGGCCAUGGACGACUCUACUCCGAACUUCUUUCGGACUUCGUCAAUAUUCAAGCUUCUCCAACAAUGGGAUUUCUAUAGUAACCAGACUCCAUCCAAGUUUCUACGGUGGUCGACCACCUUCCGAAUUCCAUCCGAGCUCCUACGAGAACUGGAUUUCAGUCGAACUCCUAUAGUGGAUGGAUCCCAGAUGAAUUUCGACAAC
rnacentral:lncRNA from 1 species